rnacentral:misc_RNA from 1 species
UCAAUUUUAACAAUGAUUGUU